rnacentral:rRNA from 1 species
AGAGUUUGAUCCUGGCUCAGAUUGAACGCUGGCGGCAGGCCUAACACAUGCAAGUCGAGCGGUAACACAGAGAGCUUGCUCUCGGGUGACGAGCGGCGGACGGGUGAGUAAUGUCUGGGAAACUGCCUGAUGGAGGGGGAUAACUACUGGAAACGGUAGCUAAUACCGCAUAACGUCGCAAGACCAAAGUGGGGGACCUUCGGGCCUCAUGCCAUCAGAUGUGCCCAGAUGGGAUUAGCUAGUAGGUGGGGUAAUGGCUCACCUAGGCGACGAUCCCUAGCUGGUCUGAGAGGAUGACCAGCCACACUGGAACUGAGACACGGUCCAGACUCCUACGGGAGGCAGCAGUGGGGAAUAUUGCACAAUGGGCGCAAGCCUGAUGCAGCCAUGCCGCGUGUAUGAAGAAGGCCUUCGGGUUGUAAAGUACUUUCAGCGAGGAGGAAGGCGUUAAGGUUAAUAACCUUGGCGAUUGACGUUACUCGCAGAAGAAGCACCGGCUAACUCCGUGCCAGCAGCCGCGGUAAUACGGAGGGUGCAAGCGUUAAUCGGAAUUACUGGGCGUAAAGCGCACGCAGGCGGUCUGUCAAGUCGGAUGUGAAAUCCCCGGGCUCAACCUGGGAACUGCAUUCGAAACUGGCAGGCUAGAGUCUUGUAGAGGGGGGUAGAAUUUCCAGGUGUAGCGGUGAAAUGCGUAGAGAUCUGGAGGAAUACCGGUGGCGAAGGCGGCCCCCUGGACAAAGACUGACGCUCAGGUGCGAAAGCGUGGGGAGCAAACAGGAUUAGAUACCCUGGUAGUCCACGCCGUAAACGAUGUCGACUUGGAGGUUGUGCCCUUGAGGCGUGGCUUCCGGAGCUAACGCGUCAAGUCGACCGCCUGGGGAGUACGGCCGCAAGGUUAAAACUCAAAUGAAUUGACGGGGGCCCGCACAAGCGGUGGAGCAUGUGGUUUAAUUCGAUGCAACGCGAAGAACCUUACCUACUCUUGACAUCCAGAGAACUUAGCAGAGAUGCUUUGGUGCCUUCGGGAACUCUGAGACAGGUGCUGCAUGGCUGUCGUCAGCUCGUGUUGUGAAAUGUUGGGUUAAGUCCCGCAACGAGCGCAACCCUUAUCCUUUGUUGCCAGCGGUCCGGCCGGGAACUCAAAGGAGACUGCCAGUGAUAAACUGGAGGAAGGUGGGGAUGACGUCAAGUCAUCAUGGCCCUUACGAGUAGGGCUACACACGUGCUACAAUGGCAUAUACAAAGAGAAGCGACCUCGCGAGAGCAAGCGGACCUCAUAAAGUAUGUCGUAGUCCGGAUUGGAGUCUGCAACUCGACUCCAUGAAGUCGGAAUCGCUAGUAAUCGUAGAUCAGAAUGCUACGGUGGAUACGUUCCCGGGCCUUGUACACACCGCCCGUCACACCAUGGGAGUGGGUUGCAAAAGAAGUAGGUAGCUUAACCUUCGGGAGGGCGCUUACCACUUUGUGAUUCAUGACUGGGGUGAAGUCGUAACAAGGUAACC